rnacentral:rRNA from 1 species
UACGGAGGGUGCUAGCGUUGUUCGGAAUCACUGGGCGUAAAGGGCGUGUAGGCGGUCUGUUAAGUCUGAUGUGAAAUCCCCUCGCUCAACGAGGGAACUGCGUCGGAUACUGGCAGACUCGAGUACCGGAGAGGAAGGUGGAAUUCCCGGUGUAGCGGUGAAAUGCGUAGAGUAUCGGGAGGAACACCGGUGGCGAAGGCGGCCUUCUGGGACGGAUACUGACGCUGAGACGCGAAAGCGUGGGGAGCAAACACGG